CAACCGCGGCCAUUUUGGUGAUGGACGACCGAAAUGCCAUGAUGUGAGUGGAACCGGCCGCAUCCACAAAGGACGCGAGAGGAGUGCCUAUUGUCCUCCAUCAAGCCUCGAAAUCGACAAGACUGAUGACAAAUCGCAGGAGUGAUUCCGUGAUUACCACUCUACCAUACAAUGGCUGCACCUACUCGAAGAGCUGCACACUGAUGGUGUAGGAUUCCUGGGCAGCUCCGUGCCACGCAAGCUUGGAUCUACCAUGUGCUGCAUCAGUGAAGCAGGCUGUCAUGUUCAUCCAGCAUGCAUCAUGCUGCCAUGUAUCCUGGGACCAGGACCACAAGAUUUGUACAGGGCAGGAUUGAAGCGAGUAAGCCACUCAUGGGUGACAUGUGCGAGGUCUCUGUCAAGCAACUUCUCAGAGACACAUGAAGCAUCUGGGAAAUGAUAUCCGGAUCCUUUCCACUUUCCGUAAAUACUGCGGCGUCUGGACUUCAUCGUUCUGCAAUCUUACCGUAAGCAUCUUCCUGCGUGUUUUUAAAAAUAAUAUCAAAUCUCGCUUGUGUCAAUCAGACAGCUCGCAAUGUACACUUACCCAGCAUAAAGCAUUUCAGUGUGUGGUUGCCAUAGCAGUGGCCGCCACGCUGAUCUUCAGUAGAGCUGUGGUACCCCGUGCUGAACUCUGUACUGGUAGUACUGGUUCAUAGAUUGUUUGCUACAUGUACAAUCAUGUCCAUGUAUGCUGGACUCUCAUAUUAACAGCUACAGCACAAGCCACCUCAUGUAUAGCACAUGGAUGACUGACCACACGCUACUGUCCUUACUCAGAUUUUUCAUCGACCACCAAGCCAUUACUGCCCUCACCAGCCAGCCUUGAUACGUUGCCACAGCAUACCACCAGCAAAGCCGCGGACACAUCCGUUCGCACUGAAUUCCUUCAUACAGCUGUUUCGAGUACAAAACUCUCGUCAGUGAAGGUAGAUAUUGUAGAAUGGCAAUGGUAGUGAAAGCCACCCUUUUGUACUCAAAGGGGUACGCAUAAUGUGCACGCCUCAGGCGCGAAGA